GAUCAGAACAGGGCUUUGGUCGAUGGACCUUGCACUCAAGUGAGGAGACAGGCCAUGCCUUUCAAGUGCAUGCAGCUCACUGAUUUCAUCCUCAAGUUUCCACACAGUGCCCGCCAGAAGUAUGUCCGACAAGCCUGGCAGAAGGCAGACAUCAAUACAAAAUGGGCAGCCACAUGAUGGGCCAAGCAGAUUGAAGCCAGAGAAAGGAAAGCCAAGAUGACAGAUUUUGAUUGUUUUAAAGUUAUGAAGGCAAAGAAAAUGAGGAACACAAUAAUCAAGAAUGAAGUUAAGAAGCUUCAAAAGGCAGCUCUCCUGAAAGCUUCCCCCAAAAAAGCACCUGGUACUAAGGGUACUGCUGCUGCUGCUGCAGGUGCUGCUAAAGUUCCAGCAAAAAAGACGACCACGCGAGUAAGAAGGUUCCUGCCCAGGAAGCCGCAGGCCAGAAGGCUGCGCCUGCUCCAAAAGCUCAGAAGGGUCAAAAAGCUCAGAAACACCUGCUCCAAAGGCAUCUAGCAAGAAAGCAUACGUGGCAAUCAAAAAAAGUAAUAAAGAUUCUUUUUGAC